rnacentral:rRNA from 1 species
UACGUGUGAGGCAAGCGUUAAUCGGAAUUACUGGGCGUAAAGCGUGCGCAGGCGGCUUUGCAAGACAGAUGUGAAAUCCCCGGGCUCAACCUGGGAACUGCAUUUGUGACUGCAAGGCUGGAGUACGGCAGAGGGGGAUGGAAUUCCGCGUGUAGCAGUGAAAUGCGUAGAUAUGCGGAGGAACACCGAUGGCGAAGGCAAUCCCCUGGGCCUGUACUGACGCUCAUGCACGAAAGCGUGGGGAGCAAACAGG